GACAGAGGGUGCAAACGUUGCUCGGAAUCACUGGGCGUAAAGGGCGUGUAGGCGGAUAGAUAAGUCGGGCGUGAAAUCCCCAGGCUCAACCUGGGAACUGCACUCGAAACUGUUUGUCUUGAGUAUCGGAGAGGAAAGCGGAAUACCUGGUGUAGAGGUGAAAUUCGUAGAUAUCAGGUGGAACACCAGUGGCGAAGGCGGCUUUCUGGACGAUAACUGACGCUGAGACGCGAAAGCGUGGGGAGCAAACAGG
rnacentral:rRNA from 1 species